rnacentral:tRNA from 1 species
AAGGCAUUAGCGUAGUUGGUUAUCGCGCCGCAUUUGGGAUGCGGAGAUCCUCGAUUCGAAUUCGAGAUGCCUUA